AGCGAACGCUGGCGGCGUGUCUUAAACAUGCAAGUCGAGCGGGCAGCGGGGGCUUCGGCCUGCCGGCGAGCGGCGAACGGGUGAGUAACACGUAAGUGACCUGUCCUUAGGUGGGGAUAACCAGCCGAAAGGUUGGCUAAUACCGCAUAUAGUCUCAUGGCGUGGUGGCUGUGGGAUGAAAGCCGGAAGGUGCCUAAGGGGGGCUUGCGGCCGAUUAGCUAGUUGGUGGGGUAACGGCGUCACCAAGGCGACGAUCGGUAGCCGGCCUGAGAGGGUGGUCGGCCACACUGGGACUAGGACACGGGCCCAGACUCCUACGGGAGGCAGCAUG
rnacentral:rRNA from 1 species